rnacentral:lncRNA from 1 species
ACAAACACUGUUGUGUUCGUGCGAACCAGGGGAGGAAGAAAGGGGAGCCAAAAACCCUAACUGCUAGAUAUCAAGAAAUUGAAGCCUAAAUCACAAGAAAAUUCGAUGCAUGGGUCCUCUUUUUCGAAAAUCUAACCCUAACUAAUGAAGUGGAACGUGUCAAGGAGAGCUCAAGCAUAGGAGGAUAACGGGUCAAGAUAAGGCAAGGUGACAAAUACACUUAUUGGAAUACUCAAGGUAAGUGAUUUCUAUAAUCACUUCUUUAGUUGUUUAAGUAAUAUAAAGUUUUAAUUAUUAAGUUCAUAUAAAGUGGAGGUUAAAUCAAUGGAUUAUUUUGAUAAAUGCACGAAUGGGUCGAAUAAUUCAUAGAUGAAUAACAAGCCGAAUACGUAUAAGUUAAGAAAUUCCUUAACUCGGAUGUUGGACUUCAAGAUCACGUGAUAGAAUAUUAAAUUACAAUCAUAUAGGAAGAAACGUGACGCAAAACGGACGAAAAAUGAGAGAGUUAUGUCCGUUUCAGUAAGGAUUAAUGGCUAGGAAAAGUGCAGAGUUGACACGGCCGGGUGGUGAACUGACACGGCCGGGUGAAGGUUCUGUCAAAAAUUUUAUUUAUGUGAUUUAUGCGCCGUAGGCUUCGGUAUAUUAUCCGUGAACUACGACGGGCCUCCCAAACAUGAUUUCGAGUGUUUCCUUGACGAUUAUAAGUUGUAAACCCAAGUCUAAGCCUCAUGUAAUUUAUAUAAGAGUGUGAUAGAUGUAUGUAAUGAAGUUGGACAUGUAUUACAUGUAAAUGUAUACAAAAAUACGUACGGAACACGUAGGUAUGAAUAUAUGAUUGUAGGUAUGAUUAAACGUAUAUUAGGUAUGUAGAUGUGUAUGAUUGUAAGUUUGUAUGUGUGCAAGUAUGUGCGAAUGCAUGAUUUGGAUGCAUUUGAGAAUUAGCGUUACUAAUAAUGCCCUUGGGUUUGGAAUGUACGUUGAUUGGAUGCAUUUAAAUGGUUAACGUCCUUUUUAUGAAGAUGUAGUAAAUGAAUAUGUUGAGAUUACGGGUUUGGCUAACCAAGUUAUUAUUGAGUAUGUUUGAAAGUGCAGGUUAUGAAUGUCGGACUUUCGAAGUGUUGAUAUAAUAAUGAAACGGUUGAAUGUUGAAAGGAUAAUCGGAUUGAAGUAACUUAUGCGGCCAAGAGCACGCGGGUUAUGUGAAGGGUAAGCGCAAUUGUUCGGAAGGAGUGAUCCGUGAAUGCGGUCUAGGACCGGCAUCAAGGCAAGUAAUAAGACGAAUUGACCCCUGGUACGUAUACUCAACGCGUGAUGUAUGAAAUAGUAUAAUUAGGCAAGUGAAAGAAAAAUCUAAAUGAAUAUAACAACGACAUGGUAAAGGAGUUUUAAAAAUGUAACACGUGCCGAAACUUAAUUCUUCGGGCAUAAUGUGGCGAUUACGCGAAGACACGAAACUAGUACGUGGAUUGUGUACCUGGCCAGUACAUAAGAAACGUAUGACGUUCGUGAGACCGCGAUAAUUGUUACAUGUAUGUCCGUUAGAAUUGGGUAGCAGGUGGGCGUACGGGUGAAACGAGUAGUAAGACUCUCGGGAGAUUGAGAGUACUACGUA